rnacentral:rRNA from 1 species
UAAAAAGCUCGUAGUUGGAUUUCUGUGAGAGUAUGAUGUCCUAACGUGUUUAGAGCGCAGAAAACUCUUGCAUCCUUCUGUUACCUCCACGUGGCAUUCGCUUGCCAGUGGUUGGCUCAGAGAAUUUACCUUGAGAAAAUUAGAGUGUUUCAGGCAGGCUUAGUCGGAAUACAUUAGCAUGGAAUAAUAGAAUAGGACUCCGGUCUCGUUGUUGGUUUGAGGGACUGUAGUAAUGAUUAAUAGGGAUAGUUGGGGGCAUUAGUAUUCGGUUGUCAGAGGUGAAAUUCUCAGAUUUAUUGAAGACUAACUUAUGCGAAAGCAUUUGCCGAGGAUGUUUUCAUUAAUCAAGAACGAAAGUUAGGGGAUCAAAGACGAUCAGAUACCGUCCUAGUCUUAACCAUAAACUAUGCCGACUCGGGAUUGGGGGCGUGUUAUUAUCCGCCCUUCAGCACCGUAUGAGAAAUCAAGUCUUUGGGUUCUGGGGGGA